GCCGUUGUGGUGUAAUGGUUAGCACACUCGGCGUCUAUUCGGGAGGUCCGAGGUUUGAAUCCCGGCGACGCCA
rnacentral:tRNA from 1 species